rnacentral:antisense_RNA from 1 species
UCACUCCAUGUACGGCGCCGCAGGGACCGGGUCCCUGCGCCGGUUUCCGCUUCUCGUGGGUCCUGCGGCGGCGGCGGCGGCGGCGGCCAAGCGGCGUUCCCCAGGGAGUCGUUUCGGCACAAUUGACCAGUAUUGCUUACUGAUAAGAGACACUGGAGUGGUUCUGGUGAGAUGACAUGACCCUCGUGAAGGGGCCUGAAGCUUCAUUGUGCUUGU